UAAUCUGUUCUAAAGCGUCAAAGGGAAUAAUGUAUAGUUAAUAUAGGACCAUGAGCCAAAACAUGUUUGCUAUUAUGGUACGUGCUUUGUGUUAAUGGUUAGCGGCUCAUAACUAACUCCCCAAGGCAUGUCAUAGGAAAUUCUAAUUUUGUCUCUGACUUCGAGCUGGCCAUAAAGGAGAGUUUUGACCUACUUUAUUGAUACAAGUGGCAAGGGCCUUCAUUCUCCAAAUCUACGAGGAAGAGCAUCCUUAAGAAUUUGGAGAAAGUUUUCAACUAGCAGUAGUUCUCCAGAUAUACUUCACUGGCUACAGCAUUGCUGCUGUGCAAAUUAAGACGACUAGAGAUCUGAGCAACCAGACGUAGACCUAAUGAUGUUAGGGUAUGGUUGCCCAUGCUUCAGUCAUCCCACACAGUGAUAUCGAUGAGAGAAUCCAGUGGCCAGGCUUGGAGUACUUCCAAACAGAACAUUUUUGUAGAGAGUUCACCCAGAGAGGGUAGGGAAGCUCUGUGUCCCUUGCCUCAGCCUAUCAUCUCUUUGUCCAUAUUCUUUGAAAUAUUCUUUAUGAUUCGAAGCUAAGCAUGUUCUCUGAGUUCUGUAAGCCAAUCAAGCAAAAGUGAUCAUACCUGGGAGUGGGUUGUGGGCAACACAUUGUGUAGCUUGGUAUUGAGAAGCACAGGUCUCAAGUUGAGGCUCGUGCCAGCCAGCAUCUGACGUGGGAAGUUGUGCAAACCUAAGGCCAGCCUGCUUUACAGAGUGCAGUCUGUGCCAGCCAGGGCUGCAUAAUAAACUCUGUUUCAAAACAAGUCAGAGAGCUCUUCAAGUGCCAAACAAAUAACAAGCUGUGUGAGGAAGGGUUCCAGGUUGGGGCUGAGCCCUAAGCCCGUGCGUGGGAUCUGGCACUGUCCAGGGAGACAGAGAGAGCUGAGGUGAAGUACCGGUGGGCUGCCACAGCAUGGCUUAUUUGUUGGUAGGGAAAGAGCCUGAACUUUUCUGUGAUUCUGAGAUUGGAGAAAAACAAGUACCUUGCCCCCUUACUCAGCCGCAAUAUUUAAGCCAAAAACUGUUAAAACAGU
rnacentral:lncRNA from 1 species